AAAAGGGAAAGAACAGAAUGCCCCGUGCAGUGUGCCCAGGCCCGGCUGAGUCAUGAGCACAGACCAGGAGGCUGCCCGCUCCUUCACGUGGCACCACCGCCCUCCCCCUGCUGCUGGCCCGGGAACCACGGGUCUGCCAGGCAUACGCGAGGGGGCCCCGCUGAGAAACAUGCCAGGCCUCUGGCACCGGGUGGAUCUCAGCACGGCCAUGUUCGAUGGCGCACAGACCGAAACCUUAAUUGGUAAUACACUGUGAAAUUCGUAAUUCACACCCAGCGAAUGUGUUUCUCCCCUGAGGUGUGGCUCACCCAGCCUAGACAGCCACGAAAGCAGGAUUUCAAACAGGUCUACUUCAUUCUUGAGUAAAACAAACACCCUGUGACUGGCACUACAAGACAGCCAAUGAACACCGGAUUAAAUAGACACCAAGAGAUUUUUAAAAACAGGAGUAACUACAUCCUCACUCAGCUUCCCCGAAGUGAAGCCGGCAGCACCAGCGUGUCCUUGGAGGCCUCAACACCAAGCAGCUCCGGGCCUCCACCCCCUAAAUGCCAGUCAACUCUGAUGCUCAGAGCACCUAGGAGCUAACAAACAGUAAACAGAAGGCCUACCCCACCCCCAGAAAGUAACGGACCACUGUGUGUAUAAUAAAAUUUAGCAGGA